rnacentral:rRNA from 1 species
ACAUCCGAUGCUAUUUCUAGAGAUAGAAAGUUACUUCGGUACAUCGGUGACAGGUGGUGCAUGGUUGUCGUCAGCUCGUGUCGUGAGAUGUUGGGUUAAGUCCCGCAACGAGCGCAACCCCUAUUGUUAGUUGCCAUCAUUCAGUUGGGCACUCUAGCGAGACUGCCGGUAAUAAACCGGAGGAAGGUGGGAUGACGUCAAAUCAUCAUGCCCCUUAUGACCUGGGCUACACACGUGCUACAAUGGUUGGUACAACGAGUUGCGAGUCGGUGACGGCGAGCUAAUCUCUUAAAGCCAAUCUCAGUUCGGAUUGUAGGCUGCAACUCGCCUACAUGAAGUCGGAAUCGCUAGUAAUCGCGGAUCAGCACGCCGCGGUGAAUACGUUCCCGGGCCUU